ACAAGACUACAUUAGAUACCCCGGUAGUCCUAGCCGUAAACGAUACUCGCUAGGUGUCGGCCACGGUGCGACCGUUGUCGGUGCCGUAGGGAAGCCGUGAAGCGAGCCACCUGGGAAGUACGGCCGCAAGGCUGAAACUUAAAGGAAUUGGCGGGGGAGCACAACAACGGGUGGAGCUUGCGGUUUAAUUGGAUUCAACGCCGGAAAUCUUACCGGGACCGACAGCAACAUGAAGGCCAAGCUGAAGACUUUGCCGGAUUAGCUG
rnacentral:rRNA from 1 species